GGCUGCUUGGUCUAGGGGUAAGAUUCUUGCUUCGGGAGUAAGAGGUCCCGGGUUCAAAUCCCGGAGCAGCCC